UGUAGCUGAGCUUCAGUUUCCCUCUCAUGGGGGCGGGGGACACACCUCCCAAUGAGAUCUGUUUUCACCUUGGCCCCCUUUCAGUCAGUCUGGGAUCUUAACUCUGCUCACAGCUGUCAGGCAGCCUCCAGCCCAUCCAUCCUGCUUACUUGCUCCAUGGUCAUGUGUCACCACCUUUGCUAGCACACAUAGCCUGCAGGAAAGCUGUCCAGACCAGCUGUGGUGGU